rnacentral:hammerhead_ribozyme from 1 species
AUCCAGUUGAUGAGUCCCAAAUAGAACGAAACAUGCUUCCUAGAU